ensembl:snRNA U6 U6 spliceosomal RNA
GUGCUUGCUUCAACAGCACAUAUACUAGAAUUGGAAUGAUGCAGAGAAGAUUAGCAUAGCUUCUGCAUGAGGAUGACACUCAAAUUAGUGAAAUGUUCCAUAUUGGA